rnacentral:rRNA from 1 species
UACGGGGGGGGCAAGCGUUGUUCGGAAUUACUGGGCGUAAAGGGCUCGUAGGCGGCCAACUAAGUCAGACGUGAAAUCCCUCGGCUUAACCGGGGAACUGCGUCUGAUACUGGAUGGCUUGAGAUUGGGAGAGGGAUGCGGAAUUCCAGGUGUAGCGGUGAAAUGCGUAGAUAUCGUGAGGAACACCAGAGGCGAAGGCGGUUACCUGGACAGUUACUGACGCUCAGGCACGAAAGCAUGGGGAGCAAAAGGG